GCAACACACGUGGAGUGCAAUCAGGGUCAGGCCCUGAGCUAGAGGAUGUAGUCUCGCCCCUAUCCUGAGCUAAUUAGCUAUGACAUUCUCCUACAAGAGACUCAAUCAAAUGGGUACCAAAUGAAAAGUGGCGCCCAAUGCGAGCCAAGUAGUCAACAAUGGAGUUUGCUUCUCUAAAAGUGUGGUGGAACGCCAUUGCCUCAUGCUCCAACUAUAAGUGACAGAUAUAUGGUGCCAAAUCACCAUAAGGAUGAGAGUCAACAUCAUGGGAAGAAAGCAACCGAAUAACCUCAAGAGAAUCACUCUCUAUGUUGACCCGCAGAAUAUCAAGCUAAUAGCAAUCUCCACCGCUCUUUGAAUAGUAGAAAUCUCGGCUAGGGAAUACAUUCUUGAAGAUCAGAGAAAGAAUAAAACCCCAUAAUGGAAUUAAACUAAGUGUAUGAAGUUUCUAUUUUAACAAACUCUUAUCAUAACUUCAAUACAUUUUAUAUAACAUCACAAGAAGUUAUUUCCCUAUAGAAUUUCUAUGGUUGCAUUCUAAUGUUGACCCUUAUUAGCAAGUGCUACAUCAUCAGAACAUGUUAUGAGUACAUUCUAUCCAAGUUACAUUGGUCAAUGCAAAAACAUCAUCAAACCUUUGGAGCAUAAUUAUAUUGAAUGAAAUUCCUGCAUGAUCUAUUAACCGAAUUAUGCCAGAAAUCCAGUUUCCAAAAGCAUCCACAAAAAACAAAACCACUGAACUGUAAUAGCACCUCGUCGAAGAUGUUUCAUGAUUCGGGAACAAAAGGAACGAGGGAGUUUCCUCUUGUCUGCUUUUCUUCCAUGAUCGAUCUGUGUGCAGUUUUAAUUCUGAGCAAUUGUUUCCUGCUCCACUAUGAUGUGCCAUCUCAGCACAACUCUGAACUUGCUACCAUGGGGUGGACCAAAUAUGCUGGCUAUUCUAUUGAUGGGGUAUUGAUGCUUGCAUUAUUGCAUAACAUUUCCACAAGCAUGAGAUGGGGAUGGCCAGAAAGGAAAGGCAUCGAUCUAUGCAGAUAGCUGGUCCAGCUCUUUGGACCCCUGCAACAUGCUGGGGUCUUUGCUUGAUAUCCUCAAAGCAUUUAAACAAAAAGAGACUAUAUGCUUAAUAGAGAUUGGAGAUUAGGCUGGACUUUGAAAUAAGCUGCCCAUACAGAUCCUCUGAUUGUGGACUUAAUGACUUAUUGUGAAUUGGAAAUCCUUCUACAAUUGAUUCUACAGUCAGAAUCAAUUCUGCGGAGAAACAUCUGUAAGUAGCUUCUUGCUUUCAGAAUUAAUUUUUGAGAAAAGAGAAGCUGGUCCAUGACAUGGUUCUGAAUAGUAUAGUCGAAUCUAUUGGUUAUGGUGGCCCAUGACUUGGUUCUGAAUUCUCUGCCUGAUAUAUUAUUUAAUCAUGCUACACAUUCUUUAGACCACCUCAACAGAAGAACCUCCAUGAAGCAGAUGUUCCUG